CCAUGUGCUGGCCCAACCGGCCGCGGCCCUCCGCUGGCCGCGCGGCCGUGCGCAGGCACAUGGAGCCCCGCCACUGCCGCCGCGGCCCUCCGCCUGCGUGCACGCACCGCCGGCCACGUGCCCUGCAGCAUGCUCUCCUUCGGGACUCCCGCAGUUGUGUACACGAUGUGGACAUGCUCAACAAUUAAGUACUUCGUCGUCCGGGACUCCCACAGCUGCGUCUUCAUCUUCUGGGCCGUAGGUGACAUGCUGCUCAAGCUGGGAAGCCGGUGCCUCCGGUUAGUCACAGGAGCACACGAGCCAUUAGCAUCACUCAUGGCACCUCUCAUGCACAGAUGCUCUUGAAGCUUCUCUCUGGUGAGUAUUUGCUAAUCAUUGAUGAGAACAAAAAUGAAUUAACCAGGAUCUUGACUUGCAUAUGCAUACAUAUACUUAUAUGCCUCUUGUCUGAUGCUGAUUGCUGUGAGAUUCAGCUAUAAGGCUACAAAACCAGUUUUACUCUCUUAAGAGAUGUGGCUGAAUGGCAGAGUGAGGAGGAAAAUUACUCUGUCUUGGACAUUAAGUUAAGUAAUAAUAUAUGUCUCACUUUGCUUUACCAAAUUCAUUGACCUAUUUAUUUUGUAAGUCAUAUUUGAAAACAACA